UACGUAGGGUGCGAGCGUUUAAUCGGAAUUACUGGGCGUAAAGCGUGCGCAGGCGGUUUUGUAAGCCAGAUGUGAAAUCCCCGGGCUUAACCUGGGAAUGGCAUUUGGGACUGCAAAGCUUGAGUGCGGCAGAGGGGACUGGAAUUCCUGGUGUAGCAGUGAAAUGCGUAGAGAUUAGGAGGAAUACCGAUGGCGAAGGCAGGUCCCUGGGCUGACACUGACGCUCAUGCACGAAAGCGUGGGGAGCGAACAGGA
rnacentral:rRNA from 1 species